rnacentral:rRNA from 1 species
ACUCGACCUCAGAUCAGACGUGGUGACCCGCUGAAUUUAAGCAUAUUUGUCAGCGGAGACAAAAAGACUAACCAGGAUUUCCUCAGUAAAGGCGAGUGAACAGGGAAGAGCCCAGCGCUGAAUCCCUGCCCUGUGGUGGGGUGCGGGACAUGUGGCGGAUGGAAGACCCACUCCCCGGCACGGCUCAUGGGGGGGCGCAAGUCCUUCUGAUCAAGGCCCAGCCUGUGGACGGUGUGAGGCCAGUAGUGGCCCCCAGUGUGCUGGGCCCAGGUCUUCCUGGAGUUGGGUUGUUUGGGAAUGCAGCCCAAAGCGGGUGGUAAACUCCAUCUAAGGCUAAAUACCGGCACAAGACGUAUAGUCAACAAUUACCAUAAGAAAAAGUUGAAAAGAACUUUGAAGAGAGAGUUCAAGAAGGUGUGAAACCGUUAAGAGGUAAGUGGGUGGGGUUCGCCCAGUCUGCCAGGAGGAUUCAACCCAGCGACGGGUCCAGUCUUGCCUGCAGCCCGGUGGAUCUUUCCCGCUGCCCGUUCCUCCCGACCCCUCCACCACCCUCCCUACCACUCUCAUCACUCUUCCCUUCGUCUCUGGGCAGAGGUGGGCGGCGCUCCAGGCGCAUUUCCACCACGGCGGUGCGCUGCGACCGACCGGCUCUGGGAUGGCUGGGAAGGAUGGCGGGAAAGGGGGCUCAGGGGUCCCCACCGUCACGGCGGCGGGUCCACCACCCCCGAGUGUUACAGCCCCCUGGCAGCAGCGCUCGUCAAAUCCCGGGGCUGAGGGAGCCAGACCUGUGGCCGCGCUCUCCCCGCUCCCAGCGCUCCCCGCCGCGGGUCACAUCGGUGUUUUUUGGGGGGCCGGGCCGCCCCUCCAAGCACACGACCGCUUUCCCACCCCGGCCCGCCUCCAACCGGGUGGGUCGGGGAGGGGCGGACUGUCCCCAGUGCGCCCUGGGCAGGUCACACCGUCGGGCCAGAGGGUUGUUUCUCGGUCACACAGGUCAGCAAAGCGAGUGCACCCGGGUCAGCGGUGACGUUAGCCACCCAACCGACCCGUCUAGAAACACGAACCAAGGAGUCUAACGCAUGCGUGAGUCAGGGGCUCGCACGAAAGCUGCCAUGGUGCAAUGAAGGUGAAGGCUGCCUUAGCCAGCAGCUGAGGUGGGAUCCUGAGGCCUCUCCAGUCCGCCGAGGGCGCACCACUGGCCUGUCUCGCCCGCUGAGCUGGGGAGGUGGAGCAUGGUCGCACGUGUUAGGACCCAAAAGAUGGUGAACUAUGUCUAGGAAGGGCAAAGCCAGAGGAAACUCUGGUGGAGGACCUUAGCGAUCCUGACGUGCAAAUCGGUUGUCCGACCUGGGUAUGGGGCAAAAGACUAAUCGAACCAUAGAGUUGCUGGUUCCCUCUGAAGUUUCCCUCAGGAUAGCUGGUGCUCUUGCAAUGAACCCACGCAGUUUUAUCCGGUAAAGUGAAAGAUUAGAGGUCUUGGGGCAGAAAUGAUCUCAACCUAUUCUCAAACUUCAAAUGGGUAAGAAGCCUGGCUCGCUGGUGUGGAGCCAGGUGUAGAAUGCGAGUGCCUAGAGGGCCACUUUUGGUAAGCAGAACUAGCGCUGUGGGAUGAACUGGACGCUGGGUUAAGGCGCCUGAUGCUGACGCUCAUCAGACCCCAGAAAAGGUGUUGGUUGACAUAGACAGCAGGACGGUGGCCAUGGAAGCCAGAAUCCGCUAAGGAGUGUGUAACAACUCACCUGCCAAAUCAACUAGCCCUGAAAAUGGAUGGCGCUGGAGCGUCGGGCCCAUACCCAGCCUUCGCCGGCAGUCGGAGAGGCGCGAGAGGGACAGGAGCUGGGGCGUGGUCAUCAAGGAGGAGGGGAUCACCCCUCCCCCCACCCCCCCACCCCACCCCCGCGGACGCUACGCAGCGACGAGUAGGAGGGCCGCUGCGGCGAGCCUUGAAGCCUAAAGCGCAGGACUGGGUGGAGCCUCCGCAGGUGCAGAUCUUGGUGGUAGUAGCAAAUAUUCAAAUGAGAACUUUGAAGGCAGAAGUGGAGAAGUGUUCCAUGUAAACAGCAGUUGAACAUGGGUUAGUCGGUCCUGAGAGAUGGGCGAGCACCAUUCCGAAGGGACAGGCAAUGGUCUCCAUUGCCCUCAGCUGAUCUAAAGGGAGAUGGGUUCAGAUCCCCAAAUCCAGCGUGGCGGAGAUGGGCGCCACGAGGCGUCCAGUGCAGUAAUGCAACCAAUCCCGGAGAAGCUGGUGGGAGCCCUGGGGAGAGUUCUCUUUUCUUUGUGAAUGGCAGGGCGUCCUGGAAUGGGUUCUCCCCGAGAGAGGGGCCCGUGCCUUGGAAAGCAUCGCGGUUCUGGCGGUGUCCAGUGAACUCUCACUGGCCCUUGAAAAUUCAGGGGAGAGGGUGUAAAUCUCGCGCCAGGCCAUACCCAUAUCCGCAGCAGGUCUCCAAGGUGAACAGCCUCUGGCAUGUUGGAACAAUGUAGGUAAGGGAAGUCAGCAAGCCGGAUCCGUAAUUUCGGGAUAAGAAUUGGCUCCAAGUGCUGGGUCGGUCGGGCUGGGGCUCAAAGCUGGGCUGGGCACACACUGAGGCUGGAGGAGGCACCACCGCACUCCUCAAGCCUGGCCCCUCGGCU